AGAGUUUGAUCCUGGCUCAGAACGAACGCUGGCGGCGUGGAUUAGGCAUGCAAGUCGAGCGAGAAAGCUCUCUUCGGAGAGUGAGUACAGCGGCGAACUGGUGAGUACAAGGCGGGUGACGUGCCCGGAUGUGGGGGAUAACCUCGAGAAAUCGGGGAUAAUACCGCAUGUCAUCUUUCGGUUAAUUCCGAAAGGGAAAAGGCCCUUCAACUUCGGUUGGAGUGUCGCGUCCGGAUCGGCCCGUCCCUCAUUAGCUAGUUGGUGGGGUAAUGGCCUACCAAGGCAACGAUGAGUAGCUGGCCUGAGAGGGUGGUCAGCCACACUGGGACUGAGAUACGGCCCAGACUCCUACGGGGGGCAGCAGUCUAGAAGCAUCCACAAUGGACGAAAGUCAGAUGGUGCGACGCCGCGUGUGGGAUGACGGCCCUUGGGUUGUAAACCACUGUCAGAGGGGGAUAAGGCCCUAUUGGUAACACUAUAGGGAUUGAAGGUACCCUCAGAGGAAGCACCGGCUAACUCCGUGCCAGCAGCCGCGGUAAUACGGAGGGUGCGAGCGUUGUUCGGAAUUAUUGGGCGUAAAGGGCGCGUAGGCGGACUGGUAAGUCUCUUGGUGAAAUUUCCACCGCUCAACGGGGAAAAGUCCGGAGAUACUGUCAGUCUAGAGAGCGGUAGGGGUAAGUGGAAUUCCUGGUGUAACGGUGGAAUGUUUAGAUAUCAGGAAGAACACCGGUGGCGAAGGCGACUUACUGGACCGCAUCUGACGCUGAGGCGCGAAAGCUAGGGGAGCGAACAGGAUUAGAUACCCUGGUAGUCCUAGCUGUAAACGGUGAGUACUAGGUGUGGGGGGUAUCGACCCCUUCCGUGCCGUAGCAAACGCAUUAAGUACUCCGCCUGGGAAGUACGACCGCAAGGUUGAAACUCAAAGGAAUUGACGGGGGCCCGCACAAGCGGUGGAGCAUGUGGUUUAAUUCGAUGCAACGCGAGGAACCUUACCUGGGCUAAAACAGAGGAGAAAAGCAGCUGAAAGGCUGUGUGCUUCGGCGUUCUUCUGAGGUGCUGCAUGGCUGUCGUCAGCUCGUGUCGUGAGAUGUUGGGUUAAGUCCCGCAACGAGCGCAACCCCUAUCAUUAGUUACCAGCGGAUCAUGCCGGGGACUCUAGUGAGACUGCCUACGCAAGUAGGAGGAAGGUGGGGAUGACGUCAAGUCCUCAUGGCCCUUACGUCCAGGGCUACACACGUGCUACAAUGGCCGGUACAAAGGGUUGCAAGACCGUGAGGUGGAGCUAAUCCCAAAAAACCGGCCCCAGUUCGGAUUGGAGUCUGCAAUUCGACUCCAUGGAGUCGGAAUCGCUAGUAAUCCCGUAUCAGCUACGACGGGGUGAAUACGUUCCCGGGCCUUGUACACACCGCCCGUCACACCACGGAAGUCGGUUUCUCCUGAAGUCGGUGUACCAACCCCCUCGGGGGAGGAAGCUGCCGAUGGAGAGAUUGGUAACUGGGGUGAAGUCGUAACAAGGUAACC
rnacentral:rRNA from 1 species